AGCCACGCGUUGAGCACAUAGCGAACUAUUCUUUCGCUUUUUACUCAAGAAUACCAUACGCUCGUCGCUAUUCAAGCGGCAUACCUUCUUUUUUUAGGGUUGUCUAUCCGACACCC